GAAUUAAUAAAUUAAAAUAGAAAAUAAACAUUAAACACAUUAGACGGAGAAGCUUACGAUUGUUGUUUCCUCUGAAGCUUUCAAUCUCCAAUCUUCAAUUCCGGUAAAGCUUCCAAUCUCCGAUCUUCAAUUCCGUUGAAGCUUCCGAUCUUAGAGCUUCAAUCAAAGAGUUAAUUUCUGGGAUUCACGACCAAAUCAUGGGUAUGUGAUUGUAGCUCUGGAUUUGUAACUCCUCCAUUGCAUUUAAUUAGACGUUUAUGAUUGUAGCUCUGGAUAUGGUUUGAUGUCGAUUUGUAACUCCUGCAUUUGAUUAGAGGUUUGUGAUUGUAGAUCUGGAUUUGGUUCGAUGUGGAUGUAUUUCUGGGUUUGUAGCUCCUAAAAUUGAUCAACGUUGUGAUUUUGCUCUAGAUUUGAUUAGCUUGUGAGUGUAGCUCUCGCUUUGAUUGGAUGUGGAUAUAGUUCUGGAUUUGAUUAGCUCCUCCAUUUGAUUAGCUCUCGAUUUGAACUCUUUUAGUGAUUAGUUCUUGAUUAAUAGCUCUUGGAUUUGAUUGUUGCUCUCGAGUUUCUAGUUUACUAUGAGUGUUAUUUAAUUUGUUCCUCAAUCACAGCUAACAAUACAAUCCAUGAUUUCUUUUAUCUAAUAACAGGCUACAACUAUUUUAUUUUACAGAGUCUACAGAGCUUAUUAGAAGCACCAAGUUUUGCCCAAUUGGGAUAUUAUAAUCAUUUGUAUUCCACCCAUGGAUUGUUCAGACAUUAUAGGAAUGUUGUUGUCUUUUGCAGCUAAUCUUGUUGUCUCUUUGGAUUUUUUUUAGUUUGAUUUUGCAUUAGAAAUCUUGUUGGCUGCACAUGAAAAGUAGAAGGUAAAAACUCAUUUUCAUAGGUUUUAAGAAGGAUACAUGUAUUUUAGGAUGGCCUCCCUAAAUAAUACAAUAUACAGAUAUGAUACUUUCUAGUCAUGUGUUUAAAUUUUAACUCUCUGUCUAUUUUCAUGUCUAUGUUUUUUGCUUGUAGGUACUUCAUCCAUCAGUCGGAGCUUCUUCUAUCAGUGUUGUACAUGGAAUAGAGCAGGAUGCUCAUUUGUAUAUGUUUUAGGAAGGGCACAUACAUAUUUAGGAUGACUUUCCUAAAACAUAUUCAGGAUGCUCAUUUGUAAGAUAUUCACGAAUGAGAAGCUUUGUUUACUGGUUAUAUGUUUUGUUACAAUAACAAUAGGUCUUGCGUUCAAGUAGUGGUUGAACAUUUUGUCCAAUCUUCAGAUUUCAUUUUGUAACCUUUACCUAGAAGCUCGACCAGCAGACUUAGUUCUGGAUCAUCUUCGUCUUCCAAUGAAACUUUAUCUUCAGGAUCAUCAGGUUUUGAAGGUGAGAUGCAAAAUACAUUCAGCUGCACAAAAACAAACACAUUCAGCAGACUUAAUACAUUCAAUUACAUAUUUUAGGAAGGCCAUCCCGAAUUACUAUAAAUCCUUCCCAAAUUAGGAAGGUCAUCCCGAAUUACUAUAAAUCAUUCCCAAAUCAGGAAGGCCAUCCCGAAUUACUAUAAAUCUUUCCCAAAACUAGUUUAAACCAUAAAAAGAAGAGACUGAUUUUACAUGAUUAGAUGCUUCAAUAUUCAGUAU
rnacentral:lncRNA from 1 species